CAGUUGAGAGAGCCGUAUCAGACGGUUCGCUAGGCAUAAGCCUACUCGGCUG
ncrna:unclassified sequences DTF3800-VI RNA